GUGCCACCCAGUAUUGGCUGCCUGCCCGAAUGCUGUCUUCUCGAGCUGCUGGGAGAGAAGCAGGGUGCUGAAGGACUCUUUCUCCAGCCAUUGGCCCUAACCCGAGCAAAGAUGGAGAGCUAAGUGGCUUUUUCUGAGUAUGCCCGGCGGGGGCGGGUGGGGGCGGGUUGUGUUCUUGAACCAGAAAGGGCGCUUCGGGGCGUACAGUUUGGCAGCCUUAGCGAUCCAUUCUCAUCCUGACCUUCAGCCUCAAUAAUUAGAGCCAUCUUAUCUAACAAAACAAGAAAGAUCUGGGGCAGUGUGGGACAGAAUUAGAAAUAACCCACCAGGAGAUCCGAAGUCACCCCAACGAGGACAGCACUUGUAGCCCAGUGGAGAAGGUUUACUUGUUGGAGGCAGACAGAGGCAACCUGAGCUCCGUGCUUGUUAGUUUUAUAAACAGAAAGAUGGUUCCCAACAAACACUCUGACAAACAAAUCAUGCCUGGAUGAAAUUGAAGUGAACCUCUUCCCGGCAGGGGCGAUAAAUUAACUCGCAGCUGUGGGCAACUGUGGGCAGCUGUGGGCAGCUGUGGGCAGCUGUGGGCAGCUGUGGGCAGCUGUGGGCAGCUGUGGGCAGCUGUGGGCAGCUGUGGGUUUACCGCUCAGUCUCCAUCCAGUCUAUCCCAGGAGAGUCGCCCUCACCCCUUCUUGCCAACACUGCUAUAUUUAGCUUGUCCAGCAUGUGCGCUGUCUAUAUUUAGUGCCUAAAAGUCAGAGUUCAGUGCACAAUUCAUCAGGCCAUCAGUCAUCUCUCCAUUCCAUUCACACAUAUAGAAAAAUCCUUCCAAGAGGUUGUCUUGCUCUCCACUGCGGGGUAGGGGUGAAGGCGGUGGGAAGCCAUUCUAAGAAUGAAGGAUUGAACCCAUAGGCGGGAGAGGGUUUCCUGCGGUCUCUGGCAUGCUGUGCCCGUCUGAGUCCCAGACCCUGAGCGAGAGCCAGGGUAUGAGUGUGGCUCCAGAGGGCGAACAGAAGGCAGGUGGAAAAGCUCAGGAGUGGAUAGCAGAUUCUGCCGCGCUCAUCUGGUUCCUAUUGAUACUGCAGAAAACCGGUCACUGCUCAGUAAGUCUGCUACUGGACGUGGGGUGUGGAGCCCACAGUUUCCUACACCUCUGGAAUAGCUCAGGAGAAAGCUGCCCAAGUCUGUCAAAGAGUAAAUGUAACAGCACACUAGCAAUAGACAGCCAACAUGAAGCCCACCAUUCAACUAAGCCGGAGGUGUGACUGCCACGGAGAGAAGUCAUGGGGAAGGCUAUGACUAUGCAGGCCACAACAGGCCAGGGCCUCCUUUGGGUUGACUAUAGUGGGAACAUGACAGAGUGGGGGACUUUGUGAGGAUAACAGAAAGGACAAUGGGAUGUCUUCACCUUUGCUGUUUCAAGCACCCAACUCACAACUGCCUGUCACUCGAGAUCUAGGGGGUCUGAUGCCUUCUUUUGGCCUCUUUGCAUGCGUGCAAUUAUGUACACACACACACACACAAACACACACACACACACACACACAGAGAGACAGAGACAGAGAGAGAGACAGAGACAGAGAGACAGAGAGACAGAGAGAGAGACAGAGACAGAGAGACAGAGAGACAGAGAGAGAGACAGAGAGAGACAGAGACAGAGAGACAGAGAGAGACAGAGAGAGACAGAGACAGAGACAGAGACAGAGACAGAGACAGAGAGACAGAGAGAGACAGAGAGAGAGACAGAGAGACAGAGAGAGACAGAGACAGAGAGAGAGAGAGACAGAAAGAGAACAAUGAGAAGUCUUAAGGACAUUGGAUUCUGAAAGACUGGAUGGGGAGUACUCCAUUUGCCAAGGCUGUCUUAUGAAGAGUUUGGACGUGUACUUGUAAUGUGUACCUGAUGAAGAACAUCUUGAGGAAAACACUCACCUGCUUGUGGCUCCUUGUGCUCUGAUUAAGUUGUUAGAGUUCCACUGGACUGUCUUCCCAGUGACAUGGAAAGCAUGUGUGUCUUGGAGCAGAGAAGCAAUACUGACAGCUUGGAAGAUCGCUACUGCGGAGCCAACAUGAUAAAGCCAUGGGAGAAAGACCUACUCUGAUUUCACUGAUGCCAGUGUGGACAAAGCUGCCCAUGACCUCAGGGGAACUUCAUCAAUGGCCAUAGAGAAUGGCCCCAUGGGAAAGGACUUUAAGGUUACACUAUUGUUCGCCCGUGAGAACCUGCCUACCCCUUGUCAAGUCCCCAGCACAGGCCAUACCAUUUUUACACUUCGAGAGAGUUCCAGUUCCUUCCUCCUGGAAGCCUCACGGUCCUUCCUCCUCCUCCUCUUUGAACCUGACAGGCUUAUUCCUGAGUCUUAAACACCGAUGGCUGACAGCGCUGGCGUCCAGCUUCUGAAUGGGAACUUGUCCUAUGCAGUGCAUUCCCUGGAACAUCUUUAAGGAAUGAGUUAUGUAUUGAUAUUCGUUCCUGUAAAGUCAUCCACAGCGGAUAUGGUUUACUUGAGAGGAUUAGCACACUGGUGCUGUGCGUUUUCCAAGUGAAUUUAAUGACCACAGCUAAGACCCGUGCAUCUACGCAUGAAGACGCAAUGGAACCUUAACUAAGACACACGGUCUGGGGUCUUGCACUAAAUUUCAUCGUGAAAGCUAGUCAAACAUCAGUGAUCGCCACUCAUUGCUUUGUGACUGGAGACAAUCUAGAGCUGUAUCCGUUUCCAGAUGCCACGACUUCUCUGUCAUGAUGGACUGCACCCUUAAACUGUGAGCAAAAAAAUAAAUCUUCCCUUCCUUAAGUUGCUCUUGUCAUAGCACUGAGAAAAUAUAAACAUAACAGGUUGAAAGAGAAUGAAACAGAGCAAAAAAUAUCAGUUAAAAUGGUACACUGCUUACAAUAGAGUUUGUGCAUGAAAACUUUAUUUAAAUGUAUGUAUGCAUUGAUUAUGUGCACAUAUUUAGUGAUAGUUUAACACAUAUUUCUUAUCAUAACUGGCAAGAGUAAAUCUGUUUAAAAUAUCUAGGUAAAAUGUGAGCUCCACAAAGGUACAGUUCUAUAUGUCCACAAUGAUAUCUCCUGUAGCCGAAACAGAUCCUGCUACAUGGCAAAUAAAUAUUUCUGAAUAAACAAAUGGCUUUGUGAUUUAAUUGGUUCCCCAACCUACUAAAAAUAAAGCUGUCUUAUACAUUUCAUUGCAACUAGUGAAAGUAUGUGUGAUAAAAUGAUAUAAGGCAGGUGUGGAAUCAUUCAACAGGUUUACCCUCCUCCACCAGCAUUGCCCCUUCUACUCCCUUUUGUCAUUCUUCCUUCUUUAUUCUCAAAGACUGAGUCAAUUUGGGGACAAAUUUAUAAUCCCCUGGAUCUCAUAAAGAUUUGCCACUGGGAUUCUUCAAGACCAAAAUAGGUCCAUUCAAGAUUUAAAAAAAAAAAAAAGCACUAAUGUCUUUCCCUAGACAGGCCUCAUCUAGCCUAAGCCAGCCUUGAAUUCACUAUGUAGCUAGGAUAACUUUCAAUUCCAGAUUCUUUCGCCUUCUCCUCCCAAGGACCAAGAUUACGUGAUGUACCAGCACUUCUGGACCACAUCUGUAUCCUCAAGGCUGCUCAGGAAGCAGCUACUUUGUGAGUGCCAGGAAUCCCAUUUGAUUGGAGUGUACCAGGUCAGAGUGCGGACCAGUGGUCUUUCUCAAGGUUGUGAGAUUUAAAAAAAAAUCCUGAUUUAUGAUUUAUAAGGGCUGAUGGGAGGUUCUACAGGAAUGGUUAGAUGCAGCAGGACCUAGGUUUAGGAAUCUAAAUUUUCUCUUCGGGCUUUUCUUAGUCAUUCCUUUGCCUGAACAACUCCUGCCCUUUUUGAUUUCUUUCUUUUGAAGGAAUCACCAGGCCAUCUUAGAUUCUAAGCCCAACCUCAUAGUUUCAUGCAUUUUUAAUUGAUAUAUUUGUGAAGGGAAAAUUUAAAUCUCUUUUGGGCUUGUAAGGAGACUGGGAAACAGUACUUCCUUUGUCUAACAACAACAGCAGCAGCAGCAGCAGCAGCAGCAGCAGCAGCAGCAGCAGCAGCAGCAACAACAACAACAGCAACAACUCCAGCUAAGUGCUUCAGAAAGGGACCUAAUCGGGCCUCAGCUGGAUCCCCCUGGCUUGUGAUCUGAAGAUUCAGUGACAGUUGCUGUGUGACAGUUUAUCCAGAGGGGGAGGAGGACUGUUGAGAACAAACAUAAUAAAGUCAAGAGAGGCGAAAGGAAACUGGAUGCUAAUGCUUUAUUGCACAUGGUGUUGUCUUUCUUGAAGAUAAAAGAGGUAAAAUUCAGUAUUGUUUCAGCUUUCUUGUGAAUUACUAUGCAGUUUCAGACAGCAUAAAGCAAAGUCCUUCAUACAGAGCAUUGCCACACAUUUCUAGCCCAGUUAAAAUAAUCAAGUAAGCCCGUGGCUUGACAGGAAGAAGGGAAAGACAGUAUAUUAAAGAAAUUUUAAAGUAUUUCUGAGAAAUAUAGGGGACACAUUUACAUUCUUUUCAUCAAAAAAACCCCCACUGUGUUUAUGUGUAGUCACGUGUGUGUUUGUGUGUCCACAUGCACGUAUGUAUACUUAUUUUCCAUCCCACUUUGAAAAAGUAUCUAUUGGGCACAGUUUCUCACCUCUUGUUCCAAAGCUUAGAGAACUGGAAAAUUUAAGAUUUGUAUAACUUCUUGUAUCAGACAGGGAUGACCAAGAUGGAAAUAACUUAAAUAAUAUCUUAGUUAUGAGCAGCCAAAGAUGAGCUUGAACUGAAGGAAGGUUGACACGGGACUUUAUCCUCUGUGAUAUGUGAGUUAUGGAUAUGGUCAGCAGCCACAACUGGACUCAGUGAACAGUUGCUGGGUGUGUCACGGGCUGUCAGGGAUGGAGAUCUCUGAAGCAUCAUCGGUGCACAGCACAUACACGGCUUUUCUGAGUUACCGUUACAGAGCAUAGAAGAGGCACCAAGCAAGUGUAGACUUGAUGUGCCAAGAUUGGCUUACAAAUUACAUUUCAGGCAAAAAGGAUAACUUUCUGACAGGUAAGUCAGUGGGGACUUUCUUAAAUAUCCCUGUCACUUCUUCAGGAUCAAGCUUCGUGUAUAAUGCCUUCCCUGUCACACUGUAAGAAAUGAGGACACUUCCGGGUAGAUGACUUUGUUAGUGCCCUAGCAUGCCUAAUCCGUACGACGUCACAACUUGUUUGAGCUAGUUUUGCAAAGACAGAAUGAGAAGACACUGUUGAGGCUUGGCCUUUUUGCUAUGUGUUGUGAUGCUCGAUACUGGCCUCCAAGGCCUGGUUGCCCCAGGGAUGAGAGAAUCUGCAUGCACACAAAGUAAUGCUACAUGACUUUGCUUCUUAAUUUAAAACUACUGGUUGGAUAAAGAUGUCUACAGUCUAACGCUGAGCAGAAGAGAGGAAGAUGGAGUCUCAAUUCCCUGGCUGGGUGUCUGAGGAGGACCACGAGGAGAGAGAGAAGAAGGUGGAGAGAGGAGAAGACACCAUGGAGUAGGUGAGACAUGAACGUCUGGCCAUGAGAGCGGCCAAUAGGAGUUAAGAGCAGCCCAGAGGGAACACGGAUGCGGAUGCUUGGUUUCCAUCCAGCUGGCCGACUGACUGGGAUGUGGCCUGGAGGAACAGGAGCUGUUUGAGGACAGGGGAUGAGGGAAAAGAUCUCUGAAGGCUUGUUUGCCGCUCCUUUGGUGACACGUGUUGGUUGUUAACAGACCACUAGGCUAUGAAUUUGGACUCUUCCAGCUAAAUAAAUAUGCGUUACAUUUACAUACCCAUCUAGUCCAGUGGGAACCGAUUAGUAACGUCAUGUCUGCAUCAGACAGGAAUUCACUUUCUCGCCAGGUUUCAGUGAUGCGGUGAUAUCCUGAGAGACAUCCCGCUGAAAUCAGAACAGCACCUUGGUUCCCACCAAACAAAUAAAUCCCACAUGCAUCUGGGAGUUGGUGAUGGUUUUUUCCUAUCCAAGAAUGAUGAGAUUUCUGAGUCCCUAAAUGCUUGAAAAUACAGACAUGCUAGACAUUCACUUGACAAGCUUUGCAUGUAUCUUGCAGAGAGAUUUUCAAUGUAGAAGAGGGAGCAGGCUACGUGUGGUGGCGCACGCCUGUAAUCUCAGCACAAAGGCGGGAAAUGUUUGCUGAAAGUUUGAAGAAAUCCUGAUCUACGAAGGCAGUUCCAGACCAGCCAAGGAUACACUGAGCUUGUGUCAGACAAACACGUAGGACUGGGGAGGUGUCUCAGGGAUUAAAAGCACCUACUGCUCUUGCAGAGGACCAAAGUUCAAUUCUCAGCACCCACAUAGGGUAGCUUUCAACCUCCUAUAACUCUACAUCUAAGUCACCUAAUGGUCUCCUCAGGAUUCCAUGAUGCCUGGACACACAGACAUAUACACACACACAGAAAAGACACACAUACACAGAUACACACAAAGACACACAGACACACAUACACACACAGACACACAGACAGACACACACAGACACACAGACAGACACACACAGACAUACACAGAUACACAUACACACACAGACACACAGACAGAUACACACAGAGACACACACACAGACACACAGACACACACAGACAUACACAUAGACACAUACAGACACACACACAGACACACACACAUACACACACAGACACACACAGACAUACACACAGACACAGACACAGACACAGACACACACACACACACACACACACACACACACACACACACGGAAAGGUCCAUCUUUUCUUGUGUCUAGUUCCACCAUUUAAUUCAAGUCAGCUAAAGUGAUGUCAGAGAAGGUACCAAGUGCAGGGAUUACCAACACGUCGAUGUGGGGAAUGUAGGGCAUGG